CACAAAUGCCACCAAUCAAGCCAUUUCUUUCUCAAGGGGAACUGAGUGAUUUGCAGGGUUUGGGGAAGGUUGCCUGUGCCUAAAGCAUCAUUCCGUCCCACUCUGGUGCUGUGCACGGAGCUCGACUAUCCUGAAUCCACCAUGAUUCGACCUCAUGUCAGUCCUUUGGCUGCCAGCCCAGUUCAACUCCAAGCUGAUGACCAGUGUCGACCGCCAGUCAUUCUGAACAUUUGACCAGUUGAGCUUUCAAAUGAUGGCAGUCCUGGCUGACAUUUUGGGUGAACAAUAUGAGAGACUGACUGGUUGAGCCCUUCCCAAAUUUCUGACCCACAACAUUGUGAGAAAAAUAAUCUUAAGCCUCUCAGUUUGGGGACAAUUUGUUACUCAGCAAUAGAAAUGAAAAUAUGAUCUCAGUAGGACCAUGUGACUUGCAGCAACCAGGGUGACAAUGAACGUCCC
rnacentral:lncRNA from 1 species